rnacentral:rRNA from 1 species
CUUGGUCAUUUAGAGGAAGUAAAAGUCGUAACAAGGUCUCCGUUGGUGAACCAGCGGAGGGAUCAUUACAGAGCUGCAAAACUCCCUAAACCAUUGUGAACGUUACCUAAACCGUUGCUUCGGCGGGCGGCCCGGGUCCUUCCCGGCGCCCCUCGGCCCUCGCGGGCGCCCGCCGGAGGUAAACCAAACUAUUGCAUUGUAUGGCCUCUCUGAGUCUUCUGUACUGAAUAAGUCAAAACUUUCAACAACGGAUCUCUUGGUUCUGGCAUCGAUGAAGAACGCAGCGAAAUGCGAUAAGUAAUGUGAAUUGCAGAAUUCAGCGAAUCAUCGAAUCUUUGAACGCACAUUGCGCCCGCCAGUAUUCUGGCGGGCAUGCCUGUUCGAGCGUCAUUUCAACCAUCAAGCCCCCGGCUUGUGUUGGGGACCUGCGGCUGCCGCAGGCCCUGAAAACCAGUGGCGGGCUCGCUAGUCACUCCGAGCGUAGUAAUACAUCUCGCUCAGGGCGUGCUGCGGGUUCCGGCCGUUAAAAAGCCUUAUUUACCCAAGGUUGACCUCGGAUCAGGUAGGUUGACCCGCUGAACUUAAGCAUAUCAAUAAGCGGAGGA